rnacentral:tRNA from 1 species
GCCGGGGUAGCUCAGUUGGUAGAGCACCUGUUUUGUAAACAGGAUGUCGUCGGUUCAAUCCCGACCCCCGGCU